NGAUAUGUGCCCGAAAGUUUAAGGAUCACUUUGAUAGAGUGAACUAUAAGAGCUCAAACCUCUUCAUAUCUU
rnacentral:tRNA from 1 species